ensembl:lncRNA
CGGGAGUCAGGGAGGGUAGAGAUAAAAACAGAGCUACGUAGGAGAGAGGCUGUUUAGUGGAGGACCUGUAUCUGUUCUCCAGCCUGGCUUCUGGUGACAGUGAUUAGGCAGACGGGGCAGCGCAAGCCACCUAAUAACAGUGCACGUUACGCCACAAUACCUCUGAAGUUGUGUGUGUGUGUGUGUGUGAGUGCGUGCAUGUGCAUUGUGUGUGAAUAGUUGUUUGGUGUGUGCACGUUCUGCGGGUUUAUUUGUGUUGACUUGAGUGUGUUUACGGUUGUCGGUUUGUAUGCCUUUUGUAUGUUUAUGCUGGUGUGUGUGUGUGUGUGAACGUGUGUAAUAUUUGUUGAUAUGUAAGAGACUAAUUGCAAGCGUGUGUGCAUAGCACACGUUUGGUGUUUGUGUAGUGCUUAUUGGCUUGUGUGUCUGUGUGUCUGUGUGCCGUGUACGUGUGCUGCGCGUCUUACUGCCAGUGUGUGUGUCAGUAUGAUAAGGCCUGUGGCUGUUUCAGCAUGAUUGUGUGUGUAAUUAUGCGUGUGUGUGUUUGAGUUGGUGUGUGUUUUUUAAGAUGUAUUUUAUGGUGUGUAGCUGGUUGAAAGGUGUGUGCAUAUGCGUGUGCAUGUGCCUGUGUCUCUGAACAGUUGUGUGUGUGUUAUCUUUAAGGUGUGUGUUGAGGUGAGUGUGUGUUAACAUACGUUAAUGUGUGUUAUGUGAGUGUGUGUUGACGUGUUCUAAGGUGAGGGUUUGCGAGGGGAGUUUGUUUUAACUUUGUUCUAACAUUAAUGUCAGUAUGUGUUGACGUGUGUGUCAAUGUCAGUGUUGACGUGUGCGUUACAGUGAGUGUGUGUGUUAACGUGUCUGUUAUCCUGUGUGUUGUGGUGAGUGUGUGUGUUAAGAUGUGUGUUGAGGUGUGUGUUGAGGCGUGUGUUGAGGUGUGUGUUGAGGGGAGUGCGGACCCCCUUCAUCCUGAGCCCGGAGCUCUGCUGGGGGACAACGCGGCCCUCCCCCCGGAGUCCUUUACAUAAUCAAUCUUCAAAAGUGUGUUGAGACGCCGUGAUUAAUAUUGGUUUAUCGGGCGACUGCCCUUUUGGCGGGGCGCCGGAGGAAGCCACAGCUUAGGGGACCGGGAGUUUAUACAGCGCCGUCAGGUGACCGCGGGGCCAGUCAAUAUCCCCCGACUCUGUUUGGAGGAGAGCGAGCGGGGGGGGGGAAUUAUAAAUGGCCGCGAACAAACUUCUGACAGCGCCGAGCCAGAAAUACACUCCCGCUGCUCGGCGAUGCGCUCGCC